AACGCGAAGAACCUUACCAAGGCUUAAAUGUAGGACGACCGGGAUGGAAACAUCCCUUUCUUCGGACGACCUACAAGGUGCUGCAUGGUUGUCGUCAGCUCGUGCUGUGAAGUGUCGGGUUAAGUCCCAUAACGAGCGCAACCCCUAUCUCUAGUUGCCAGCGGUUCGGCCGGGGACUCUAGAGAAACUGCCGGCGUAAGCCGAGAGGAAGGUGGGGAUGACGUCAAAUCAUCACGGCCCUUACGUCUUGGGCUACACACGUGCUACAAUGGUAGGGACAGAGAGUUGCGAACCGGCGACGGUAAGCUAAUCUUCAAACCCUAUCUCAGUUCGGAUCGGAGUCUGCAACUCGACUCCGUGAAGUUGGAAUCGCUAGUAAUCGCAUAUCAGCCAUGAUGCGGUGAAUACGUUCCCGGGUCUUGUACACACCG
rnacentral:rRNA from 1 species